rnacentral:rRNA from 1 species
CGUCUGAUUAGUUAGUUGUGGGGUAACGGCCUACCAAGACGACGAUCAGUAGCCGGACUGAGAGGUUGGACGGCCACAUUGGGACUGAGAUACGGCCCAAACUCCUACGGGAGGCAGCAGUCGGGAAUAUUGCGCAAUGGAGGAAACUCUGACGCAGUGACGCCGCGUGCAGGAAGAAGGUUUUCGGAUUGUAAACUGUUGUCGCGAGGGAAGAAGAAAGUGACGGUACCUCGUGAGAAAGUCACGGCUAACUAC